rnacentral:rRNA from 1 species
GGAUGCGAUCAUACCAGCACUAAAGCACCAGAUCCCAUCAGAACUCUGAAAUUAAGCGUGCUUGGGCGAGAGUAGUACUAGGAUGGGUGACCUCCUGGAAGUCCUCGUGUUGCAUUCC